rnacentral:lncRNA from 1 species
GCUGGAGCUUUUAAAAAAAAAAAAAAAAAAGAAAAGAAAAUCAUGUUGCUUACCCUAUUGAGAGAUUAAUCAAAAGUGGCUGGAAAGAGAUAUAAAAAUAAAUUUCAAAAGUCAGAUUCUGAAGAUAUUUAAGAUCAAAACAAGAUGGUUAGGAUGGAAGGAAAAGCAACGCUGGAAAGAGUGGCUGAGAUAUUUCCAUGAAGUGAAAGUGUGUUUUCCUCAGAAUUCUCUAGUUUCUGCUGGGGGUAGGAUAAGAGUUAAUGAGAGCUCUGAGAUGACCAGGAUAACACCAACAGAAAGUGACAGAGUUUUUCUGCUCUCUUUAUAAACAUGAAAUAAAUCCUCAAAAUCUAAAAGGAGAAAACGUCCUCAAGUACUAACAUUGCUUUUGCUGUCACAUUUGUCCUGGCUUUGCAGAGGUUAAAAAGAUUAUUGCAUAGCAGCUUCCAAGCAUGGAAAAAGGAGGUAAUCAAAUUGGACCACAGCCCAGGGAAACUGUGAGGUCUUACUGAGCACUGCGUGCCAGUGGAAAGAAGCAUUUUGAAAGGUAAACUGGUGGGGGCGAUGGGGUUCAGAUAUUCUCUGAGACCGGGAACGUCACUGCUCUCCCCGGGAAGCUGCUUUAGGCACAGUGCUCCUGCCUGACUCGGGAAGACUGCUCUCCUGGCCUCCUGGAAGUCAUAUGGGAAACAGAUACCCAGUUUUUCAGCUCCAUUAACUGAAAGACUCUUUUCCUGAAUGUUGUCCUUGCAUCAUUGCACAAAAUCAGCUUACCAUAAAGGGUUGUAGGAUUUUUCUUCUCAGUCACUUUGCAAGCCAGGGACCCUCGAUCGAUGACGCCCCGCCCGGGCCUUGCUCUGCCACGCUGCAUGCCCCAGCUCGCCUGUGUGAUAGCUUGUACCCACGUUCAGUGGUUCCUGAGCUUUUGCACCCUGCCCAAGAAGAAUGAGGAUAUGCUGGACAUUGAAGGGGUGGCCUUGUUUGAUGUUGCUGUUUUAUGAAAUUACACUAUCCAUGUACAACAUAAGGAAAAUGUGACCCAGCUGAGAGCGCCAGGCCAGAUUCUGGCAACACCGAUGUCUGGAUGUCAGUGCCAAACCAGCUCCCUGAUUUCACAGGUAAAUUGAUCAGGAAUAGUUCUGAAAAGUGUACUGCAGUUGAAGAAAGCACUAUCUAGAGAGACGAAGACAAUCAUUCAGGUCUGAACAUUUCUAUUGUAUGUCAUUCUCACUUUCUCGCUUUCAUUUUCCUCUUCUGCCCAUAACAUCAACUUUUAGCCAUUCAUCUUCUUUCUUUCUUGAGUAAAAAAUUAUGAGAAUUUAUCCCUUAUUAACAGUGACUGUCUUUCUUUUUUAAUUUUUAGUCUGUAUGAGUACAUAGUACGUGUAUAUAUUUAUGCGGUGAAUGAGAUAUUGUGAUACAGGUAUACAAUGUGUAAGAAUCACCUCUGUGUAAAUGGGUUAUC